CUGAAAGCCUGAAACCGGUGGACCCAAAGAGUCUUCGCCCCGCCUCGCGGGAGCCAUGGCCAGGCGCUCGGCCGCCGCUCGCCUGGAUCCUUCCGAUACCUCUUACCAUAAAGAGCAAGACCGGUCUGUGUACUUUGGUUGAUCCUGACAUGGACCAACUGGAGGGUGCUCCCCCUGGCCAUGAGCCGAUCCACCGCCCAUUUUGCCGCUUGCUGGCUGUUCUUGUCCCGGUCGACGGCCACGAUGGUCGAGAUGUCCUUCCCGGCCUCGGGCUCCCCGCUGUGCGACGCUGUGGAGAAUGCCGAGAGGUACAUUUCUCAGCUCUCCGACCAACCAACGAAGCGAGCGAGCGACCGACGGGAGGGAGAGAGAGACAAAAGGGGAAUUUUGUCCCUCCUCCCCCUUUGCUUAUCUCUCCUACCCUGCCUGGCCGGGGUCUCCUCGUCCCUUGCUGUCGCGACCGAACCCGGCCGAAACCGCGAUGUUGUUUUAGGGAGCUUGUGUUUGUUUUUUGCCAAGUUUGGACGCAGUGUGGUCGUGAGGAUUUUCUUAAUUUUCUGUGGCUCCUGUUUCCCCGCUUCUUAAGCAAGGGGUGUAGGCGGGAGGACACAUGUUCAAUGCCACCUUUCUGCUUGUUUCUAAGAAUAGCGGCAGGUGACAGACAGGGGUGUCGCCAGGCGCUAGCUGAGUUUCCUUUAAAGGCCUCCUUUGGUUUAGCUGAGUUUCCUUUAAAGGCCUCCUUUGGUUUGGUUUAUAGUGUAGAAAAAUUAUAGGAAUAGAAAAGUCAUUGAAAAUAAGAUGACAUGUAUCUCAAAUCCUAUAAAUAGAAAUAUGAAAGGAGAUGUUCUUUGGUUCA